rnacentral:rRNA from 1 species
AUUGAACGCUGGCGGCAUGCCUUACACAUGCAAGUCGAACGGCAGCGCGGGUGCUUGCACCUGGCGGCGAGUGGCGAACGGGUGAGUAAUAUAUCGGAACGUGCCCUAGAGUGGGGGAUAACGUAGCGAAAGUUACGCUAAUACCGCAUACGAUCUACGGAUGAAAGUGGGGGAUCGCAAGACCUCAUGCUCCUGGAGCGGCCGAUAUCUGAUUAGCUAGUUGGUGGGGUAAAGGCCUACCAAGGCGACGAUCAGUAGCUGGUCUGAGAGGACGACCAGCCACACUGGGACUGAGACACGGCCCAGACUCCUACGGGAGGCAGCAGUGGGGAAUUUUGGACAAUGGGGGCAACCCUGAUCCAGCAAUGCCGCGUGAGUGAAGAAGGCCU